rnacentral:rRNA from 1 species
GACGAACGCUGGCGGCGUGCUUAACACAUGCAAGUCGAACGGAAAGGCCCUGCUUUUGUGGGGUGCUCGAGUGGCGAACGGGUGAGUAACACGUGAGUAACCUGCCCUUGACUUUGGGAUAACUUCAGGAAACUGGGGCUAAUACCGGAUAGGAGCUCCUGCUGCAUGGUGGGGGUUGGAAAGUUUCGGCGGUUGGGGAUGGACUCGCGGCUUAUCAGCUUGUUGGUGGGGUAGUGGCUUACCAAGGCUUUGACGGGUAGCCGGCCUGAGAGGGUGACCGGCCACAUUGGGACUGAGAUACGGCCCAGACUCCUACGGGAGGCAGCAGGGGGGAAUAUUGCACAAUGGGCGGAAGCCUGAUGCAGCAACGCCGCGUGCGGGAUGACGGCCUUCGGGUUGUAAACCGCUUUCGCCUGUGACGAAGCGUGAGUGACGGUAAUGGGUAAAGAAGCACCGGCUAACUACGU